rnacentral:rRNA from 1 species
UGCGUAGGCGGAAAUUUAAGUCAGUGAUGAAAUCCUGCGGCUCAACCGUAGGACUGUUAUUGAUACUGAAUUUCUUGAAUACAGUUGAGGUAGGCGGAAUGAGUAAUGUAGCGGUGAAAUGCUUAGAUAUUACUCAGAACACCGAUUGCGAAGGCAGCUUGCUAAACUGUGAUUGACGCUGAGGCACGAAAGCGUGGGGAGCGAACA